rnacentral:rRNA from 1 species
CCCGGGCCUUGUACACACCGCCCGUCACACCACGAAAGUUGGGUGCAACCAAAACGGUGAUUCAACCCGCAAGGGAGAUAACCGUCCAAGUUGUGACCAAUGAUUGGGGUG